rnacentral:rRNA from 1 species
GCAUACCUACGGGACGCAGCAGUGGGGAAUAUUGCACAAUGGGGGAAACCCUGAUGCAGCGACGCCGCGUGAGCGAUGAAGUAUUUCGGUAUGUAAAGCUCUAUCAGCAGGGAAGAAAAUGACGGUACCUGACUAAGAAGCCCUGGCUAACUACGUGCCAGCAGCCGCGGUAAUACGUAGGGGGCAAGCGUUAUCCGGAUUUACUGGGUGUAAAGGGAGCGUAGACGGCGGUGCAAGCCAGAUGUGAAAGCCCGGGGCUCAACCCCGGGAUUGCAUUUGGAACUGUGCUGC